rnacentral:lncRNA from 1 species
AUCUCCCAUAUUCCCAUCCCCCCUCCCUCCCUCCCCCAAUCCCGAGGGAUUUUGGGAUGACCCCACAGGAAGAAGAGGAAAGCAGCAGCAGCAGCAGCCGGAGGGGACAUCUCCGAUCAGCUCCGGGGCCUCUCCCUGGAUCCCCAGAAUUCCCAGGAUUCCCGGAAUUCCCAGGAUCCCCAGGAUUCCCAGAAUUCCCAGGAUUCCCAGGAUUCCCAGUCCCACCUGGCCGAGCUGGAGGAGCUUUUCCAGUUCAGCUCAGCGGGUUUGGGGCCGGCGGAGCGGGAGCGGUUCCGGGAGCAGCUCCAGAAGAUUCCCAGCGGUGUCACCGUGUGCCAGCUGUCCCUGGUCAGUGCCACCCCCGGGGCCAUCGGGGACACGCUGCUGCUGACCCGGCUGGAGCGCGGCCAGGAGCCCGUCAGCGUCCGCAUCGCCACCGAGCGCUGCCAGGCCCCCCUGAGCGGGAUCCUGCAGGAAUUCCAGCGGAUCCAGCGGGAGCAGCGCGAGGCCAACGCCUGCACCGAGCGCCAGGAGUGGUGGGAGCGGCGAUCCCGCCUGGACCUGCGCAUGCGGAGCCUGAUCCAGAGCCUGGACUCGGAGGUUUUGGGGUGCUGGCGGGGGCUGCUGCUGCCCCGGGACCCCGAGAAUUCCCCCCUGGAUGAGCAGGAAUUGUCCCAGCUGCUCCAGGAGCUCCGGGAAUGCGGCUGGGAGAGCCCCGAGCCCGCCCUGCUCCGGGUACNNNNNNNNNNNNNNNNNNNNGGGACUGGGAUCCCAAACCCCUCCCAGUUCCAGGGACUGGGAUCCCAAACCCCUCCCAAUUCCAGGGACUGGGAUCCCAAAUCCCUCCUCAUCCAAUGACUGGGAUCCCAAACC